rnacentral:lncRNA from 1 species
CUUUGAACUAACCUAUUGACACUGUCGGGAGACUGCGGAGAUGAAGCACCUGUAGUGCGGAGCCGGGCGGGCUGAAGCCGCAGGUGGGGCAGGACUGCCGUUCCCCUCCAGCAGUCCGCGGACCACCGUUGGCUUGGGUCCUUGGAGUCCUAGACCAGCCCCGGAAAUGAGCGGGGCUGGGCUUCAUCCCGCUUCCGGCUCUCGGUCUCCAGGGAAGGGCUGCCUGCGCAUGCGCAGCUAGAUCGUCUCGCCCCGUCUCCGGCUGGUCGGCGCACUACGCUGCUGCUAGCUGCCGAGCUCGGUCUUCGGACCCGACGCUUCCUGUGAGCCGGCACCGAGGUGAGGCUCUUCGUGGCUCCUCCCGCAGUGCAGGUAGCCGGCGGCGGCCGGGCCGGCGGCUGUGAGGGUGUCACACGGGAAGCCACGCACUAAGCGAACGAGUUCGAUGAUUGCUGGACGCGCCGGCAGGCAGGUUCCGGCCGAGGGCUCUAGUGAUGCUGGGGACACUGGGGGAGGGGGCACAGGCGGCUCUCAGAGCCUGUCGGGCGCGCGCCCGCGACCGACCACCCGAGAGGCGGGCGGAGGCUGCGGGGAGUACGAGGCCUUGCGGGCGGGGCGUCAGUCCACGCUGGGGCUGGGCCCUCGAAGCUCGCUCGCCCGCACCGCGCCGCCCGGGGUAGCGGGAGGCCUCAGGGCGCGGCACGCCAGCCUCAGGCCCGAGAUUGGACGGCCGGAGCUGCAGCGCCCGCCGCCGGCCCUCCUGCGCACUGGCGGGAGCGGGCCUAGGGUGUGGAGAGGGUACACAGGCCCCAGGAGGCCUCUGCGAGAAUGCAGGCUGCCUCCUUCCUCUGGUCGCGUCUCCGCUGUUCUUGCCGAACACGCCCAAGUCUCCUGAGGGAGAGCUGGGUGGCCGCAGACCGUGGCGCCCCCUGCUUUCUCUCGGAUUCCAUGGCGGCCGCUUCGGGGGAUGGCAGCCGAGUCCGGCCAGGAGACUUGACGUUCCUCCCCGCCAUCCGCAGUCGGAAGCCGUCUCCGGACCUGUGAGCCUUGAGGUGGGGGAAGCCGAAGAGUUGAUAAUGUGGACCCACGUCCUCCCGCAGGGGUCGCGGCUCUGAGCUUAGCGGGUCCUGGCUCCACAGCCCCCCGGACCGCGAAUCCGCUUCCAGGAGCGCGCCAGGCACCACGCCGUGCGGUCCCCGGGCGCGAUGCCGCUGACUUUCCAGGACGUGGCAGUGUACUUCUCCCCAGCGGAGGGGCAACAGCUGGGGCCCCAGCAGCGGGCGCUGUACCGGGAUGUGAUGCUGGAGAACUAUGGGAACGUGGCCUCCCUAGGUGAGAACUCCCUCUGG